rnacentral:rRNA from 1 species
CGCGUAGGCGGCCAAGCAAGUCCCGGGUGAAAUCCCUCGGCUCAACCGAGGAACUGCCUUGGAAACUGUUUGGCUCGAGGCCGGGAGAGGGUAGUGGAAUUCCCAGUGUAGCGGUGAAAUGCGUAGAUACUGGGAGGAACACCGGUGGCGAAGGCGGCUACCUGGACCGGUUCUGACGCUGAGGCGCGAAAGCGUGGGGAGCAAACA